AGGUACACAGGUUAUGUACACACUCUUUAUACAUAGGUACACAGGUACGGUUAUGUACACACUCUUUAUACAUAGGUACACAGGUACGGUUAUGUACACACUCUUUAUACAUAGGUACACAGGUACGGUUAUGUACACACUCUUUAUACAUAGGUACACAGGUACGGUUAUGUACACACUCUUUAUACAUAGGUACACAGGUUAUGUACACACUCUUUAUACAUAGGUACACAGGUACGGUUAUGUACUCACUCUUUAUACAUAGGUACACAGGUACUGUUAUGUACACACUCUUUAUACAUAGGUACACAGGUACGGUUAUGUACACACUCUUUAUACAUAGGUACACAGGUACGGUUAUGUACACACUCUUUAUACAUAGGUACACAGGUACGGUUAUGUACACAAUCUUUAUACAUAGGUACACAGGUAUGGUUAUGUACACACACUUUAUACAUAGGUACACAGGUACGGUUAUGUACACACUCUUUAUACAUAGCUACACAGGUACGGUUAUGUACACACACUUUAUACAUAGGUACACAGGUACGGUUAUGUACACACUCUUUAUACAUAGGUACACAGGUACGGUUAUGUACACACUCUUUAUACACAGGUACUGUUAUGUACACACUCUUUAUACAUAGGUACACAGGUACGGUUAUGUACACACUCUUUAUACAUAGGUACACAGGUACAGUUAUGUACACACUCUUUAUACAUAGGUACACAGGUACGGUUAUGUACACACUCUUUAUACAUAGGUACACAGGUACGGUUAUGUACACACU